rnacentral:rRNA from 1 species
AUUGAACGCUGGCGGCAGGCCUAACACAUGCAAGUCGAACGAGUGGCGGACGGGUGAGUAAUGUCUGGGAAACUGCCUGAUGGAGGGGGAUAACUACUGGAAACGGUAGCUAAUACCGCAUACCAUCAGAUGUGCCCAGAUGGGAUGAGCUUGGUGGUGGGGUAACGGCUCACCAAGGCGACGAGCCCUAGCUGGUCUGAGCGGAUGACCAGCCACACUGGAACUGAGAAACGGUCCAGACUCCGACGGGAGGCAGCAGUGGGGAAGCUUGGACAAUGGGCGAAAGCCUGAUAGAGCCAUGCCGCGUGUGUGAAGAAGGCCUUCGGGUUGUAAAGCACUUUUGGUAGGGAAGCGGUACCUGAAGAGAAAGCAACGGCUAACUACGUGCCAGCAGCCGCGGUAAUAC